rnacentral:lncRNA from 1 species
UUCAGCGUGGAAGCAACUUUUGCCAGCGGGAGUUCCUUUCCCAUGCAGCGUUGAUCUGUUCACCUUGACAAUGAAGGACCUGAAGCUGGACUUCUUGAAGAUGAAGAGACCGCUGAUGAGAUGUUGAGAGAGGACAGUGUCCUUGACAUUGUCUAGAUCCAGAAGCUGGGAGGAAGGACAAAUCACCUUUAAUAGUACAGUGUAUGUAACCACCAUUUUAUUCAAUGUAGUAAAAUUCUGACAAUUUCAAGGAUCCAAAGGGUACAAACAUACCAAAAGGGGUGGGUGAAGGCAGAGCAGCAGCUGCAGUAGGUGAAUAUAGCGUUGCAAAUCAGUUCGCAGUGUACUUGAAUGUGAGUCAGUGUGAGUUUCUGUGUGCUUCAGAGAGGUUAUUUAUACCAAGUCAAGUAAAACCACUAAUAAAUCAGAUCUCGGAAACAACUUUUAACCAAUUCACCAAGAAGUAUCUUAAAAAUUGCAUCUAAGAAUUGCAUCGAGUCAAGAAGUAUGCUAUGUGGUUUUUCAGUCACAAGGUUUGGUCAUUAGAGACAGGUAAAAAGGUGUUUAAGCAAGUUGCUGGUGGUAACCGAGUUGGUCAUGUGGUUGGUCGUGUGGUUGGAUAUACUGGUGUCGUUGAGAAUAAGGAUGGAAGUAAAUGCACAGUCAUCAAUGUGUCAGUCAGUCGGUUGGUGGACAAGUACGAGUAAGCGUGUGGCUAAGUAGGUAAAAUAAUGUAAAUGUAGACUAAGUGAACCGGUCAGCUGUCAGGAGUUCAGGUUGGUGGUCAGUCAGUAAUCGUAAGUUCGGAUGUACCGCAGUGAUGUAAAGUUAGUGAAAUAAUAGUUAAAAUGUACCAGGUAAAUAAGGUUGUGGUGUGUUGAUCGGUCAGUCAGUAAGUAAAAGUAAUCCGUGUACAUGUAUGUAACUAAAAUGAAGUGACAGUAAUCAAGUAAGUAGUGGUAAGCUGUAACAGUAUAAAAGUGUAAGCAGAAGUUUUUAAGUAUGUGUAUGUAAUUAAGUAAAUAAGUUGGUUCAGGUCAUUGGUUGGUCUGUUGGUCGACCAGCUCAUUUGUCAGUCAGAGAAAAAGGGAAAGUAGCUAAGAUUCAGCACUGGGUGUUAUUAAUUUAUUUGACGGUCCAGUUGUUUAUUCCGAAAUAAUAAAUCUGCUACCCUUUUCUUCAUCAGAAAUAAAAAGUGCAAAGCCAAAAAAGGUUAAUAACAAAAUGGAAAAAAAAUUUUUAAAAGCAGUAAAGCAGUAAAAUCAAACGAAUCUAAAAACAGAACUUAUAAAAAGAAAUGUUUUAAAAUAAAAAAGAAUUAGACUCUGGGUAGUGAGAGUACAAAUUGGAAAGCAAGUGAUGAGAAUGUUAAAACUCAGCAAGCGAGGCAGUCAACUUGGACAGUGAAAAAGAUGGUACUUGAGCAAGCAAAGCAGCUUAGUGAGCACACGAUGAAAAGACAGCAGGGAUUGGUUCGGGAAAGAAAGAUGGUUCGGCUAUUAAAACGAUCAUUUUGUAUUACGCGCACAUACUAUCAAACAUUUCUAUUCAAGGCACAGCUGUAAUUUGUGACUGCAGUGGGAUGAUGAGAAAAAAGACUUUGAAAUGAAUUAUUUUAUAUCAUAUUGAAUUAUUCGUAUUCAUGAAGCCCAGGCAGUCGGGGUCGAGAAGUUUUAUUCUUGCAGAGUUGGGGACUUGUUUUGUGGUGGGACUUCACAAGACUGGAUUCCACAUGAUUGAUGAUGAAGGGAGAGUAUCCUUGGCAGCCUUCUAGGAUCCAGAAGCAGGGAGGAGGAACAACAGAUGACUGAUGACCUUGCUUGCUGAGUUAAUAGAUAAUUAAAUGCAGUCUCACAGGACAGUGUGUGAUUAAUGAUGAAGAGAAUAAUUAUGAGAAGACAGCAUUAGGAACAGAUUUCCAGGAGCCACAAGCAGGGAAGGAGACUGAAAGAUGACUGACGACUCUACUUGCCGAGACUGUUCCAGGACACGGUGCAAAUCUUAGCAAUCAUCACAGAUGAAUAUCCAGGACCUGGUAAGCAAGAGAACCUACCACUGAUCUGAGAUUUUGCUUGCUGGUUAUCAAGACAAGAAUACCUCAACUCUUAAUUUCCGGCACCCAUGCCCUGUCACUUCAAAUGAUGCAUUUUAUAAUAAUAUAACUGUCAUGUUGAACAGCAGCCAGAUUAAAAAUGACUUAGGUUAAGGUUAUUGUUUUGCUUCAAUUGUUCUCAAAUUUCGAAGUUCCAGUAUAUUUGAAAGACAUGCUCUCCUUGCAGUGAUCUUUAAUUGUAACUCAGCUAAUAUUGUUGCUCCAGUUAGUUGUCAUUCAUUUUGCAAAUUACUUUUAAAAUACUUUUUAAGGAUAAAGGGGAAAAUUAUUUCAUUACUCAUGAAUCUAAUUGGUGGAAUAAGUGUCUGAACCAACACUAUUCACAGUUUUGUAACGCCAUGUAAUUAAAAAACAUUAACAUUUACAAAGACAGAGCAUGGGGUUAGAAGUGUGUGCAGUAAACAGUUCAUUUUGAUGGUGCUGUUAUAUGCUUUCAGACAUUUUUUAAAGAUAUAACAACAGUAUUUGUAGGCAGUGAUGGCACAUGGCAAUGAAAUAUUUUUCUUAAGAUUUAAAUGAACUUUAUACUGGGAAGGCCUGUUUCGCUGUCACAGUCAAUCAAGGACCUUCCUAUUACAAUAUUUAGGCUAGACCAAACUUAUUGAGUUCUUAGCAACUGUAUAAUGAUUUGAAGAAUUAUGGCAACAGAAGGCACUGUUAUAUAGGCAUUUUUACCUGGAGUUUUACUCGAUCGCUCACUAUGAGGGUCGGAAAGGAAUUUUCAGAUGUUUUUACCCAUUGGGUUUUUGAUCUGUUUUUUGCCUUUCCCAGGUAAUUUUAAAAUUAUGUUGGGCAGAUGGAAACACAAAAAAGCAGGCAGUUCAGAAGUGCUUUGAACUCUACAAAAGUACUGAAUUAUUCCCUCUGAAAAUUUGACAGAUAGCCGAUACCACACAAUGUUGUGGUUGUGUUUUCAGUGUACUAAUUAAUGUUACCAGUUUACUCUUAAUGUUCCUUUAGUAUGUCCAAAAUACUAAUACUGGUUUUUCAUGAAGAAUGAGCAAUAAAUCAUGACCUGCAUUAAUAUAUGAAAAUGCUGAUUAGACUUGACCAUUGUUUUGCUCAUUUGAUUUGCAAUUGAACAAAAGAAAUAUGUUUUCCCUUAUUUAAAGUGGCUGUGAAUGGUCUGAAGUCCAUGGAGCAGGACAGGGUCUGUUCUUACGUCUUCACUACAAGAGUCCUGAAGUACUGUAGUCAUCUCCAAAUAACUUUGAUGCGCUGUGGUCAACAUUAUAUUACAGAAAUAAACACAAAAUUCACAAAAGCUGUAAGACAAAGUGACAUGAACAUUUAUUCUAAUAAUGAAGCAUAUUCAACUCUAGUCGGGCAUCAAAAUUUAUAUUUUGAUUUAGGGCUUUCACUUUAAGAUUCUUUCCAAUGUCCAGCUUGUUUAUAAAAGACACUAUAAGCAGGAAUGAAGGCAGUGAACACAGUUCACCUUUUAUAUUGAUGAACUUAAAAAAUUCCUCAACAUUUACUCAAGGUAAGCACCUUCAAUUAAGAAUGACAUGCCUUCCCAAGCAUCUUUCUUAAUCAAUGCUGGAAAAUGAA